rnacentral:rRNA from 1 species
UACAGAGGGUGCAAGCGUUGUUCGGAAUUAUUGGGCGUAAAGGGAGUGUAGGCGGCUUGUUAAGUCUUCUGUGAAAUCUACGGGCUUAGCCUGUAACGUGCAGAGGAAACUGGCGAGCUUGAGUGUCGGAGAGGAUAGGGGAAUACCCGGUGUAGCGGUGAAAUGCGUAGAUAUCUGGAGGAAUACCGGUGGCGAAGGCGGCAUCCUGGACCAUUACUGACGCUGAGGCGCGAAAGCUAGGGGAGCAAACGGG